rnacentral:rRNA from 1 species
AUGGAGUUGAUGGCUACAUCAUAUUUCAAGGAGGUGUUUACAAAGGACCCUACUCUCUUCCCGGAGCCGGUUCUGGAGAAGAUAACAACAAAGGUUACACACGAAAUGAAUGUGUCUUUGUGCAGACCAUUCACUGUCGAAGAGGUGUCGGAUGCGUUGUUCCAAAUUGGGCCGCUAAAAGCACCUGGUACGGAUGGAUUUCCUGCUCGGUUUUAUCAGCGAAAUUGGGCCGUCAUGAAGGAGGAGAUCACAGCGGCUGUUAUGGAAUUUUUUGUGUCAGGAAUCAUGCCUAAGGGGGUGAAUGAUACGGCUAUUGUGCUUAUUCUGAAGAUUCAGUUCCCAAAGGAGCUCAAGGACUUUCGCCCAAUCAGUUUGUAUAACGUGAUCUACAAAAUAGUGUCCAAGUGCUUGGUGAACCGGCUUCGGCCUCUCUUGGCGGAACUUAUUUCUGAAAACCAAAGUGCGUUUAUUCCUGGUCGGCUUAUCUCAGAUAAUUCGAUCAUAGCUUUUGAGUGCAUCAACCAUAUUCAGACUUUGAAGAAUAAUAACCCUGUUGCGUGUGCAUACAAGUUAGACUUGUCCAAGGCGUAUGACCGCGUGGAUUGGGACUUUCUUGAGAAGGCCUUGAGCAGGUGGGGUUUCUCUGCAACAUGGAUCAAAUGGAUGAUGGCGUGUGUAAGAUCUGUCACGUACACGGUGAAAUUCAACGGCAAAUUGCUUGAGGUUUUUGAGCCAUCGAGAGGGCUCCGACAAGGUGAUCCGCUGUCCCCGUUCCUAUUUCUGUUUGUAGCUGACGCUUUGUCUGCUCUUAUUACCAGCUCUGUGGAGAGUGGUGAAUUAAGGGGAGUGACCAUAUGUCGUGGUGCCCCGGAGAUAUCUCAUUUGCUUUUUGCGGAUGAUACUUUACUGUUUUUGAGGCUUCGAGCCAGCAAGCUAGCUUUGUCAACGGUUUGUUGA